rnacentral:rRNA from 1 species
CCGCGGGAAUUCGAUUAGAGUUUGAUCCUGGCUCAGAACGAACGCUGGCGGCGUGCCUAACACAUGCAAGUCGAGCGAGAAAGUCCCGGCAACGGGAUGAGUACAGCGGCGAACGGGUGAGUAACGCGUGGGUAAUCUACCCUCCAGCUCGGGAUAACCUGCCGAAAGGUGGGCUAAUACCGGAUGAUGUCCCCGUGGGGAUCCUGCGGGAAGCAAAGGGGGCGAGCGUAAGCAGCUCUCACUGGAGGAGGAGCCUGCGUCCGAUUAGCUAGUUGGUGGGGUAAUGGCCUACCAAGGCGACGAUCGGUAGCCGGCCUGAGAGGGCGAUCGGCCACACUGGAACUGAGACACGGUCCAGACUCCUACGGGAGGCAGCAGUGGGGAAUCUUGCGCAAUGGGCGAAAGCCUGACGCAGCGACGCCGCGUGGGCGAUGAAGGCCUUCGGGUCGUAAAGCCCUGUCGGGUGGGACGAAUACUCCUGGUGGCGAAUAACCACCGGGCUUGUACGGUACCACCGAAGGAAG